CCUGCGCUAAGGCCCGCACCGAGGGCCGCCCCAUCAUCUUCCUACGGGUUCCACCUCCAUCCAGAGAGUCUGCGCAGGCGCCGCCCUUGACCUUUGGGUACGAGAGGUUCUCAGAUCUUUCCGGCAAGUGCACGUUUGAACGCCGCCCUAUUUGAAGUCCAGGUUGCCCAGAUGUUUUUUAGGAGUUAUGAUGGUAAUGGCAGUCGGGUCCAGUCCUCUCACUACAUACUUUGGAGGACUAAGUGCUGCUUUUCGGAAGGAAGAAAAAAAAUGCAGAAGCGAGAAGGGCUCAAGAACUCAGGAGUGAGACCGGCCAGAUUUCAGCUUCACUCCUCUUCCUGCACAUCUGUAAAAGGGCGAUGAUAGCAUUACGGCCCUCCGGAUUAAACGAAGCGAUUCAUGGAACUUGCCAGGCACAUAAGUGCUCCAUAACCCCCACCCCGUACCAGGGAUCGAACUCAGGACCUCGAGCUUGAGAGGCAGGCACGGUGCCACUGAACUGAAUCCCAGGCCCUUAAUCUUACUGUUGUGACCAUUUACUUUCAUGACAGCGCUAUGAGGAGGGUUUGUUCUGCUGUACUCGCUCACUUUAGAAGGGAAACCAAGGCUUGGAGAAUUCACUUGACCGAAGUUGCAAAGCUAGCAGGAGAUAUUCACAAGAAGCCUGGAUUCUCAUCUCCCCAGCCCACUACAGUGUUUGCAGCCUGAACCAACUGUUUGGUUACCUUGACACAGCUGAAGCCAGUCUCAGAAGGCCACUAAGUCUGGACUUGCAACCCCAGAAGGGAGAAGAGCAGCUAAACACCUCAAGGCCACACCCAAGUGUCCUGCCAGGGUCUGUCAGGGCCCAGACCCACCAGGAGGAUCUACCACAACAGACAUCCUCUGCCUACUGACAUAGGGCCCAUGCAGGUUACCAAAGAUCAGCAGUUUUCAUGCAGAAAAAAGGUACAAACUUACAUACCUCUCACAAAUACUGAAAUAUCCUGUUGGGAAGCGGUGUUGCCAGCAGUACUGGUCAUCUUCGGUGUGGAAAACCUUCUCCUUGUGCUUCUCUGAAGAGAUGUGGCCUUGCCACUGCUUCUCACUGUUACAGUUCUUCCCGCACAUCCAGCAGUGAAAAUCCACCUAUGGGUGGCGAAGGCAUGUGGCCCGUCAGUGGUGAUGUCAGUGCCCUGUCACUCUUCAGGGCACCUGAAGGUCCAGACGCCACCAGCUGUAAGAGCCAGACUCUAUCUAUUCUCAGGGAGCCAGGCAAGGACACAAAGUGAAAAGUAAGAUCAAGGAAAGGACCACAGUGUGGCGAAAAGAGCCGACACAUACAGGAAGCAGAGGAGCGGGACGAAUCUGGCCCA